UACGAAGGACCCGAGCGUUAUCCGGAUUUAUUGGGUUUAAAGGGUGCGUAGGCGGACUAUUAAGUCAGUGGUGAAAGCCUUCAGCUUAACUGAAGAAUUGCCAUUGAUACUGAUGAUCUUGAGUAUGAUUGAGGUGGGCGGAAUGUGUCAUGUAGCGGUGAAAUGCUUAGAUAUGACACAGAACACCGAUUGCGAAGGCAGCUCACUAAGCCAUAACUGACGCUGAUGCACGAAAGCGUGGGGAGCAAACAGG
rnacentral:rRNA from 1 species